CACAGGGUCACCUAUCCAGCCAGUGGGGACUGGGGGCUUGAACCAGGGGCCUUGUGCAUGGUGACACAUGCACUUAACCAGGUGCGCCACCACGUGUCCCCUGCUCACUUAUUCUUUAUGCUGGAGAGAAGAGAGACACCACAGCACCGGUCUGGUCUGCCAUCCAUGGAACUGCACUGCCCAUGUGGAGCUGGGAUUCUAAUUUAGAGGCUUACACAGGGCAAGGUGUGUACUGCUCGCCUCAGUCAGCUCCAUGCCCCCAAAGAGUAUCUUUUUAAAACUUAUUUACUUACUUAUUCCCUUUUUGUUGCCCUUGUUGCUUUAUUGUUGUAGUUAUUAUUGUUGUUGUUAUUGAUGUCAUUGUUGUUGGAUAGGACAG